rnacentral:rRNA from 1 species
UACGUAGGUGGCAAGCGUUGUCCGGAAUUAUUGGGCGUAAAGCGCGCGCAGGCGGUCCUUUAAGUCUGAUGUGAAAGCCCACGGCUCAACCGUGGAGGGUCAUUGGAAACUGGGGGACUUGAGUGCAGGAGAGAAGAGUGGAAUUCCACGUGUAGCGGUGAAAUGCGUAGAGAUCAGGAAGAACACCGGUGGCGAAGGCGGCAUUCUGGACUGCAACUGACACUGAGGAACGAAAGCCAGGGGAGCAAACGGG